GUCCGGAUGGCACAAUGGUGAGCGCAUCUGCCUAGCGAGCAGGAGGCCCGAGCUCGAAUCCCGGUCCGGCACA